UUGUGUCUCUCGCGAACUUCAAACAAGGGAAGGUCUCGCGAACCAAACCCUCAAGAACAACAAUCCCUCUCUCGAUUUGAAACUCUCUCAAUCACGACAAUCCCUCACUCUCACUCGUCCUCUCUCACUCGUUCUCGUCAUCUCAAUUUCGAACCCUAGGUCCCAAAUCGAAGUUCAGUGAAACAAAUUGAAGCUUCUCUCAGAUCGUUCCUCUCCCUACAACUGAAAACACAAACAGGUGAAUUAUGAGUUUAAUACCUCAACUAGAUCAUCAGACAUGUUAAAUGGCAAUUACGAACAUUUUAUGGAGAAUUUAUCAUUGCUGUUACGUUGGUCACCAUAUUCAUCAGAAAAAGAUCUUCUAAAACAGUUUGAUAACAUGGGAUCUCACGGCACUAAAGUUAUCGUCUACAAUUUGUGGUUUAAUGAUGAGGGGAUUACAGAGUUGGAUUUUGAUACAGAUCCCAAGGAUAUUCGUAUUGCUUGGGAUAUCAAGAAACUCGGCACUAAACCUGCAUGGAAGAGAAUUCAGGAGGAACAUAUUGCUGAACGAUUUCGUUACUCUUUACGUGUAGUGGGAUUGUGUUCAUUCCUGGAAGAGCUGCAAAGACAGUAAAAGCGGAAGUGGAUGUAUAAUAUUUUUAAAACACUGAGCAGAACACAGAGAAACCCUUUGCUUCGCUAGUAACUCCUUGAGUGCGUUGAGGAUCGGAGACCAUAUAGUCCUGGAAGGACUUCUUCAAAUCCUGCAGCAACUUCCUAUCAUCAUGGCAGGGGGGUAACCUCACAGAAGAAGGGUUCGUAGACCAAAUUUAUACUAAGUGGUCCCUUUACAACAAAUCAUUGAGUCAUACAGAGAUAGCAUUUGCAUUUUUUUGAGUGUGCAUUCAUAGCUAGAAGCCAUUAAGGAAGUUAUUUGGUCUUAAGUUAUGUUUGUUGAGACUAUAUGUUUAGUUGUUUACCAAUUUAUCUACCAGAUUUGGUGGCUUAGUCUUUGUCUUUAAAUUAUUUUACCUCUACCUUGUUUGCAGAUCUACCAAGGGAUUCAAGUGUGAUUAAUGAUGGCUUGCAACAAGAUGGCAGCAGUGGAAUCUCAGACAUUUUGCCUCUUGUCACCUGUGCUUGUGCCAUUUUGGCUAUUACAAGAGGCAAACCACAGAUGCAUGGCCUACAUCUAUUCCAGUAACUAUUUUUACUGUUAAUAGUGGAUGAGAAGGAGAAAUAGUGUCAUUUGCUCAAAAAAUUUAGGUUUGUAUUUGAUCAACUUGAGAUAGAUUCGUCAAAUGGUUUUCUCCGCAAAUUUGAAAGAUUUUCGGGCAAUAUCCAGGCCUUCGUAGAAAGAUCCUUGACAAUAGCCAUAGCACCUUCAUCCUCUGCACAGUUCCCACAUUCAGAAAAGAAACAUCCAAGAUUCCAAACCACGGGGAGCAGAGCACCUUCAAUUCUGCCAGCAAGCUCACUUUCUUGGUUGAUGUUAAGCCUCUCCAUAAUGGUGUGAUGAACACUCAACUCAGCAAGCUAUCAAAUAUGGUAUAUAUAUAUAUAUCUAUACUAAAAAGUCUUUUUUUUUGUAAUGACUUGGUAUUUUGCUUGAAUUGUAAUGACUUGGUAUUUUGCUUUAAUGACAUUUGAUCAUAUUAUGUAAUUGUAUUUUGGUUGAAUGUUGAA